GAUAGCUAUGGGGAAUUCUCAUCGAACCUUAUAAACAUAAUCAAUUUAUCUACGUAACGGCGUGUACUAUAAGCAUUACACGAGGAGCGCAAUAACAUCCGAAGAGUUAUGCGGUAUCGCAAAAAUUAAUUACUUCUAGUUGGUGUAUCCCGAAAGAAACACAAAUUGAACGGACUUAGACGUUUAAUGAGAAAGUUAAAUUGUCAGAUACGAGUUGAAGGAUCGGUGUGAAACUUUCGAAAACCGUUUUGAACGUUAAAUACAUCCCCCGCAUCAUAGGUAUACAUAUAUAAGUUAUCGUCGAAACAAAAGCUGCUACGAUACGCUCCCCCUCCCUGUAUAUAUAUAUUUAGAACGGAGGUAUGAGAAAAUGUAUC